rnacentral:tRNA from 1 species
AGAAAAGUAUUUAAAAUUAUAAAAUCUAAUUUGCAUUUAGAAAUUGGAGACAAUUCCCUUUUCUG